GAGGAGUUUGAUGCCGGAAUCCCAAAAACCUGCUAGUGUGUGAUCGGAGAAAGCUUAUCUAUGGAGCGCGUAAGGCUUCGAUUGACGUUCGAGGACCCGAACAUUCUCAGUGAUUUACAGAAAUCAGAGGGUCUGAGGUGCAGUUGGUUUCUUCUCAAACCCCAAUUGCUACACAAAACUAUCUCCGAUCUGUCUUCUCAUAUUCUCCGCACUUUUCAACUCCAUGGCUCUUGUCCGCAUGGCCUUCUCCUCUCUAUGGACGGUUUUCUCUUGCCUCCUUUCGAAUCAACUUGUAUCUUGAAGGAUAAAUGUAUAGUCAGUGUGAAGAAGAAAGGCGGUGUUUUGGCCAUUGAAGGAAAUGAUGCACCAAGUAUAGUUGAGAAUAUCAGAAUUGUUGAGAAGCAACCUGUAAACACGCGACACUUACUGUUGGCGAAUAAGGAGUUUGACAAUGAAUCUGGAGGUUAUGAGAGUGAAGAUGAGGAAGGGGCAGAUCCAACAAAAGUUUCAGGAAAAAGAAACAUUGUUCUGAAGU
rnacentral:misc_RNA from 1 species